rnacentral:rRNA from 1 species
GUGGGGAAUAUUGGACAAUGGGCGCAAGCCUGAUCCAGCCAUUCCGCGUGCAGGAUGAAGGCCUUCGGGUUGUAAACUGCUUUUGUACGGAACGAAAAGCCUCUGGUUAAUACCCGGGGGUCAUGACGGUACCGUAAGAAUAAGCACCGGCUAACUACGUGCCAGCAGCCGCGGUAAUACGUAGGGUGCGAGCGUUACUCGGAAUUCCUGGGCGUAAAGCGUGCGCAGGCGGUGAUGUAAGACAGUUGUGAAAUCCCCGGGCGCAACCUGGGAACUGCAUCUGUGACUGCAUUGCUGGAGUGCGGCAGAGGGGGAUGGAAUUCCGCGUGUAGCAGUGAAAUGCGUAGAUAUGCGGAGGAACACCGAUGGCGAAGGCAAUCCCCUGGGCCUGCACUGACGCUCAUGCACGAAAGCGUGGGGAGCAAACAGGAUUAGAAACCCGGGUAGUCC